GAUGAACGCUGGCGGCGUGCUUAACACAUGCAAGUCGAACGAAGCGCUUCGGACAGAUUCUUCGGAUGAAGUCCUUAGUGACUGAGUGGCGGACGGGUGAGUAACGCGUGGGUAACCUGCCUCAUACAGGGGGAUAACAGUUAGAAAUGGCUGCUAAUACCGCAUAAGCGCACGGUACUGCAUGGUACAGUGUGAAAAACUCCGGUGGUAUGAGAUGGACCCGCGUUGGAUUAGCUAGUUGGCAGGGUAACGGCCUACCAAGGCGACGAUCCAUAGCCGGCCUGAGAGGGUGGACGGCCACAUUGGGACUGAGACACGGCCCAGACUCCUACGGGAGGCAGCAGUGGGGAAUAUUGCACAAUGGGGGAAACCCUGAUGCAGCGACGCCGCGUGAGCGAAGAAGUAUUUCGGUAUGUAAAGCUCUAUCAGCAGGGAAGAAAAUGACGGUAC
rnacentral:rRNA from 1 species